ACACUAGAGUUGCUGCUGCUCAGCAAGAAAUGAGGAGGAGAUAUCCCUGGAGGAGGAGGCCUGGCAUGGGGCUUGGCCGUGCGCCUGUUCCUAAGCCUCAGCCUCAUGUUCCGAGCAAGCCCAGGAGCAGAGCUGGCCAAAUGAUGGUCUGCUGCUGGCCACUCCAACUGUGCUAUAAGCUCCGUGGGCGCCGGGAGCCAUGACUUGCCCCUCCUCCCACCGUGGACAGUGAGCAGUAUGUGUAGGAUUAUCAGCAAUACCACCCUCGGCCACAAUUCGAAUAACUUACCCUGGAGGACGACACUCAAGUGGUAGAAAGAUCCACGAAGGGAUGAACGGAGGCCUCCUGCCAGUAGCCAGCCCCAACCUGGCAGGCAUGUGCUGGGAUCAGAGCCCUCAGCCUCGGUUGAGCCUUCGGAUGCCUGUAGCCCUGCCUGACAUCUUGGCCUUAUGAGAUACCCAGAGCCAAAACCCCCUGCUCAGCUGUUUCCAAUUUUUUGACCCUCAGAAAGAGAGUGAAAUAAUAUGUGUUUUCAGCUGCUAAGUGAUGGAGUAAUUUAU